GCUGGGCGCGGUGGCAUGUGCUUGUAUUCCCAGCUACUUGGGAGGCUGAAGUGGGAGGAUCACUUGAGCCCAAGAGUUCUGGGCUGUAGUGCACUAUGGCGAUCGGGUGUUCGCACUAAGUUCGGCAUCAAUAUGGUGACCUCCUGGGAGUGGGGGACCACCAGGUUGCCUAAGGAGGGGUGAACCAGCCCAGGUCGGAAACGGAGCAAGUCAAAACUCCCAUGCUGAUCAGUAGGGGGAUCACGCCUGUGAACAGCCACUGCACUCCAGCCUGGGCAACAUAGCGAGACCCUGUCUCU
rnacentral:SRP_RNA from 1 species